ACAAAGUCUCUCUUCAUUUUCUAUUCUUUUUUAUCUUUCAUAAUUUCCUCUCUUAUUUCUUCCACGUUUCUUUCCUCUCCCUUAUCUCUUCAUUUCUGUAUUUUCAACAACAAUGUUGAAACUCAAAUGUUUCUUUCAAUCUUCAAACUUUGAUUUCCUUUAUUUAUAUUUUCUGAAUCGUUUUGAAUAACUCUGAAUUUUAUAUCAAUGAUAUUUUCAAUUUGUGAAAUCAGGGUGUUGUUUAGAUCUAUUAAAAAGAUAAGUGAUGUUUUCAAAUCUGUGAAAUCAAAGAAGGCGGUGAGGUUGCGGUUUCCGGUGGCGGAUCUGUACGUUUUUAUGUGAUUUGUAGGUGGUAAGGUUGCGAUUUCCGGUGAUGGAUGCAAGAUGAUUUCACAAUGGAAAAUCGCCCUCAACCGACAAAGCUGCAGCAUCUCAACAGACAUGCGGCGCCGACGCCUCCACAAUCAAUCAACGACUACACCGCGCGACCCCUCUUCAUUUCGGCACCAGGCCAUCGGUCUUCACCUGUAUUGUGCCUUGCUUGCAUCCACUACCACGGUUAAAUCUUCUCCGUGCAAGGCCACCGCAGCUGGUUACUUUGGAAGGAUUUUGAUGAUAAACUUGACUGGAUCAAGGAUAUUAAUGCCUUAGAUGGAGUUGUUGAGGACAUUUAAUAUUUAGUCUUCAUCUUUUUUAGGUAACAGCCUGCUAAUGCUAUGGUGGAGUCAAAUAUAGGUAUUCUACCAAAUACAAGUAACUACUACAUAGAGAAAAAUGAGAGUAAGAUAGAGCAAAACAAGAGACAUAAAAUAGGAGAUGAUUGCUAUUAAAAUUCAGGUUUGUUUUAAUUUUUAAGUGAAAUUUUUUCAUGUUGUAAUUUUUACUAAUUUUUCCAAUUUAUUUUGAUUCUUAGUAAUUGCUCUUUGUUAUUUCUAUUUUGUUGUUGCUGAGAUGAUAACUUCAGUUCUCGCUUCUUUACUUCACAGUGGUUAAAUUUUGGUUUUAUAGGAUUCACAAUUAAAUAAAGUUUCAAGUAAAACCUUAUAAUUGUAUAUAGCCCCUAUCUUUCUCCCUAUGAACAAAAACAAAUAUUGUUUUCCUAUUUUUUAUUUUGAGAAUGUGGGUGGUUAAAAAUUAAUCUACAACUAAUGUAUAUUUCAAGCUAUUGCCAAUGUAAUUGAAUAGUUACUUAGUGUUUUACAAGUUUAAUUUAGUAACAUUAAUUAUAUCUGUGUGCUCCAAAAAGUUGGACGGUUGGUGAUAGAUUAAUAUGGACGGCUAAAGAUUAUUCUUACUCAAUAUUUUAAUUUUCUUCUUUCAGUUUUUAAUAUAUAAAUAUUUUAUUAUUGUUAUUAUUAUAAAUAUUUUUUAUAUUAUAUAAUUGUUAAUUUAUAAGUACUCUAACUUUUUAUUGGAAAGUUUGAUAUUAAUUAAUUUUAAAUGUUAGAUUCACACUUGAAAUAUAUACUUAAUUGAAAAAUAUUUUAUAACAUCAAUUUAACAAAUAAGGAAUAGGAAGGAGGUCUAUGAUUUCAAAUCUAAAAUAUUAAGAUAAACAUUAAAUUUGGUAAUGAGUUUUGAACCUCAAUAUCACGAUCUACUGCAAAUUUGAUGUAAUGUUAAAAGCUAUAAAAUGGAUUGGUAAACGAAACAGAAUUUAGUAUAUGACUUUUCAGGUUCUCAAAGAACUUUGCCGAGCAACAAAGUCUCCUAUUAAUCACAUUGAAUCUAUGAUGUUUUUGUUCUCGACAGUCAUUUAUAUAUUGGAAUAGAUGCAAACUAUAUUCAAAUUUCAAAGACACGUAUUUACUUCAUGUAAUGCACCACUAACAAGUGAUGGAAGGUGGACUGUUUUAUUUACUAUAAAA